UGGGUGGGGACCCACACCUGAAUGUCCACGUGGAAUUAUCAUGGCCUCUACGGGGCAGAUGGUUCUCAGUGAUUCAGCCCUUUGUAUAUCUCGAAGCACCUGACAUCUUCCCCUUUCAUGUGACUCUAACAAGAAUCCUAGGAAAUAAGCAGAGCAGAACAGUGACCCUGUCAACAGAGAAGACGACUGAUGAGAGAGUCACACACAGAGAGAGAGAGAGAGAGGCAGAGACACAGGAGGAGGGAGAAGCAGGCUCCAUGCACCGGGAGCCCGACGUGGGAUUCAAUCCCGGGUCUCCAGGAUCGCGCCCUGGGCCAAAGGCAGGCGCUAAACCGCUGCGGGGUUGGCCACCUUAUUGAGACCCUGAGUGGGCCUCCUGCCCUUCUCAGGCCUGGGUUUUGUCAUCUGUGAAGUGAAGGGGAUGGACAAGAUGGUGGUGAGGUCUUCUUACAGAUCUCAUUCAGGAAUGAGAUGCACGGAGCCAGGCCUGCCUGACGUCAUGCCAUCAGUGAGGAGGAAGUCACAGUGAGGAGAAGGAGACUGGCUGCUACGUCCCACUGGGCGGGUUGUGCUCAGCCAAGGGGCCACGUCCAGCCACCAAUCAGAGCACAAAGCCUGUCCCUGGAACUGGGCUGAAUCAGCCUCGAAAAAGGAGUGCCCUUUGAUGACCUACACAAAGGUGCUGGCUAGGGGCCAGUGAGCACUGUCUCCUUCCAGCUAAUUUUAUUGAAGAGACUCUGAGAAGAGUAAGUCAGAACAUCUAAGUCCUUCUGCAUCAGGAAAAUGAAAGUCCCCACCAGAGAGGUGUCUUCCCAGCCCUGAGUAACCGCAGCAGCGCCACAUACAGCCCAGGCCCACUGUGCUCAGCAAACACUCCUUAACAGAAACCCAUGGGCUCCCUCCUACUUCCCAAGGGGCUCUGCAUUCCCGCUCCAUUUUAAUGUGUAACCACAAGCCAGAGUGGGGCAAACAGCAUCUGCUAUCAUCCCUGCCCAAGGUGGGGAGACCAAGGCUCCCAGAGGGCAGGUGAGGUCCACGUCCCCAGCCAGCACUGUCAGAGAGAGCCUGGACCCUCCCUCCUCAUCCCCCCACACCGGGGUUCUCAGAACUGUUCCACAGCCAGUCUUCACCCCCCCCAACAAAUCACCUUUCCUAACCUGAGGGAAGAGCUACUAUGUGCUGUUCAGGGUACCUUCCCGGGAAUGUGUCACUUAGUCAAACCCUUUCAUCCAGGGAGGUCCUAAUUUUACUCCCAAAUGGACUGGUUUAUUCCAGUUCUGAAAGUGGUUUUGUGCAUCCCAGAAAUAAGUAUCAUGGGUUCUCUGCUACUUUUACCAAAUAAGAAGUGACUUGGGUUCAAACCUUCAGUUUGGUUGUUUGGAGUCAUUGCUUCUCAGAAGAAAGUGAAGGUACAAACAGCAAACGGUAUUAGGAAUAAUAAUAAUUAAAAAAAAGGAAUAAUAAUAAUAACUAUUAUUAUUACUUUUUUUUCUACUUUGGAUACUUUUU